ACUCCUGCGGGAGGCAGCAGUAGGGAAUCUUCGGCAAUGGGGGCAACCCUGACCGAGCAACGCCGCGUGAGUGAAGAAGGUUUUCGGAUCGUAAAGCUCUGUUGUAAGUCAAGAACGAGUGUGAGAGUGGAAAGUUCACACUGUGACGGUAGCUUACCAGAAAGGGACGGCUAACUACGUGCCAGCAGCCGCGGUAAUACGUAGGUCCCGAGCGUUGUCCGGAUUUAUUGGGCGUAAAGCGAGCGCAGGCGGUUUGAUAAGUCUGAAGUUAAAGGCUGUGGCUCAACCAUAGUUCGCUUUGGAAACUGUCAAACUUGAGUGCAGAAGGGGAGAGUGGAAUUCCAUGUGUAGCGGUGAAAUGCGUAGAUAUAUGGAGGAACACCGGUGGCGAAAGCGGCUCUCUGGUCUGUAACUGACGCUGAGGCUCGAAAGCGUGGGGAGCGAACAGGAUUAGAAACCCCAGUAGUCCCA
rnacentral:rRNA from 1 species